rnacentral:misc_RNA from 1 species
GCUUCUUUCCUCCCUCGGCCUCCUCCUCCUUCCUGUUCGCCUUCUUCUCGUGUUUUUCGUGGAAAGCAUAACCCCCGGCCCCGACAGCUGCGGUCCCCAAGAUCUCCUCCUCUAGCUUGUGCUUGUGAGCGUGCUCCGGGUCCUUCUUCGCCUCAUGCUUCUCAUACAGUCCGAAACCACCAGCAGCAACGGCCCCCGUCUCGCCAAGGUGCUCCUUGUGCUUGGCGUGCUUCUCCUC